UGAGGAAUUUUGCACAAUGGGGGCAACCCUGAUGCAGCGACGCCGCGUGCGGGAUGAAGGAGCUUUGCUCUGUAAACCGCUGUCGAAUGGGAAGAAAAGAAUCUUAUGGGUUCUGGGACUGUACCAUUAAAGGAAGCACCGGCUAACUACGUGCCAGCAGCCGCGGUAAUACGUAGGGUGCGAGCGUUGUACGGAAUUACUGGGUGGAAAGGGUGCGCAGGCGGACUUGUGCGUCGGAGGUUAAAGAUCUCGGCUUAACCGAGGGAGUGCCUUCGAAACGGCAAGUCUUGAAUAUGAGAGAGGAUGAUAGAAUUCCUGGUGUAGCGGUGAAAUGCGUAGAUAUCAGGAGGAAUACCGGUGGCGAAGGCGGUCAUCUGGCUCAUAAUUGACGCUUAGGCACGAAAGCGUGGGGAUCAAACA
rnacentral:rRNA from 1 species